rnacentral:rRNA from 1 species
CCAGACUCCUACGGGAGGCAGCAGUGGGGGAUAUUGCACAAUGGGGGAAACCCUGAUGCAGCGACGCCGCGUGGGUGAAGAAGCGCCUCGGCGCGUAAAGCCCUGUCAGCAGGGAAGAAAAUGACGGUACCUGAAGAAGAAGCCCGGCUAACUACGUGCCAGCAGCCGCGGUAAUACGUAGGGGGCAAGCGUUAUCCGGAUUUACUGGGUGUAAAGGGAGCGUAGACGGCCAUGCAAGUCUGAUGUGAAAACCCGGGGCUCAACCCCGGGACUGCAUUGGAAACUGUGCGGCUGGAGUGUCGGAGAGGCAAGUGGAAUUCCUAGUGUAGCGGUGAAAUGCGUAGAUAUUAGGAGGAACACCAGUGGCGAAGGCGGCUUACUGGACUGUAACUGACGUUGAGGCUCGAAAGCGUGGGGAGCAAACAGGAUUAGAUACCCCGGUAGG